UACGAAGGGGGCUAGCGUUGUUCGGAAUUACUGGGCGUAAAGCGUAUGCAGGCGGAUCAUUAAGUCGGGGGUGAAAUCCCGAGGCUCAACCUCGGAACUGCCUUCGAUACUGAUGAUCUUGAGUCCGGGAGAGGUGAGUGGAACUGCGAGUGUAGAGGUGAAAUUCGUAGAUAUUCGCAAGAACACCAGUGGCGAAGGCGGCUCACUGGCCCGGUACUGACGCUGAGGCGCGAAAGCGUGGGGAGCAAACAGG
rnacentral:rRNA from 1 species